AUGAUCAAGUGUGAGAAGGGCGUCUGGUGGAUGCCUAGGCACGUACAGGCUAUGAAGGACGUGGUACGCUGCGAAAAGCCGUGGGGAGCUGCGAACAAGCUUUGAUCCAUGGAUAUCCGAAUGGGGAAACCCACCUUCGAGGUCUGUUGUCGAAAGCCGGAGACUGGCGCGAGCUGGUGUCUGGCCUUCGAUAACAGGCUUCACAAGAAGGUAUCUGGCCCUGAAUAAAAUAGGGGUUAGAAGCGAACCCGGGGAACUGAAACAUCUCAGUACCCGGAGGAAAGGACAUCAACAGAGACUCCGUUAGUAGUGGCGAGCGAACGCGGAUCAGGCCAGUGGCAAGCAUGAUUGAACCGGAACUGUCUGGAAAGGCAGGCCGUAGCGGGUGACAGCCCCGUACGGGUACGGAUCAUGUUUGUCCUUGAGUAAGGCGGGACACGUGAAAUCCUGUCUGAACGUGGGGGGACCACCCUCCAAGCCUAAGUACUCGUACGUGACCGAUAGUGAACCAGUACCGUGAGGGAAAGGUGAAAAGCACCCCGACGAGGGGAGUGAAACAGUUCCUGAAACCGGACGCCUACAAACAGUUGGAGCCCAAGGUUCGUCCUGGGUGACAGCGUACCUUUUGUAUAAUGGGUCAGCGACUUAGUCUGUCGAGCGAGCUUAAGCCGUUAGGUGUAGGCGCAGCGAAAGCGAGUCUGAAUAGGGCGACAGUUCGACGGAUUAGACCCGAAACCGGGUGAUCUAGCCAUGACCAGGCUGAAGGUUGGGUAACACCAACUGGAGGGCCGAACCCACGCCUGUUGAAAAAGUCGGGGAUGAGUUGUGGCUAGGGGUGAAAGGCCAAUCAAACUCGGAAAUAGCUGGUUCUCCGCGAAAACUAUUUAGGUAGUGCGUCAGACGAAUACCUCGGGGGGUAGAGCACUGGAUGGGCUAGGGGUCUUUACCGGAUUACCAAACCUAACCAAACUCCGAAUACCCGAGAGUACUAUCUGGCAGACACACGGCGGGUGCUAACGUCCGUCGUGGAAAGGGCAACAACCCUGACCGCCAGCUAAGGUCCCCAAGUCACGGCUAAGUGUGAAAGGAUGUGAGGAUCCCAAAACAACCAGGAUGUUGGCUUAGAAGCAGCCAUCAUUUAAAGAAAGCGUAACAGCUCACUGGUCUAGUCAAGGGUCUUUGCGCCGAAAAUGUAUCGGGGCUCAAGCCGUGCACCGAAGCUGCGGGUUCGUCUUUGACGAGCGGUAGCGGAGCGUUCCGUAGGCCUGUGAAGGGAUACCCGUGAGGGAUCCUGGAGGUAUCGGAAGUGCGAAUGCUGACAUGAGUAACGCUAACAGUGUGAGAGACACUGUCGCCGAAAGUCCAAGGGUUCCUGCGCAAUGCUAAUCAGCGCAGGGUUAGCCGGCCCCUAAGGCGAGGCCGAAAGGCGUAGUCGAUGGGAAUGGGGUUAAUAUUCCUCAGCCUGCAGGAAGUGACGGAUGCUGUGUGUUGUCUGCCCUUAUUGGAUUGGGUGGGCUUCGAAGGUGUCCCUGGAAAUAGCUCCUGCUUAUAGACCGUACCCGAAACCGACACAGGUGGACUGGUAGAGAAUACCAAGGCGUUUGAGAGAACGAUGCUGAAGGAACUCGGCAAAUUGCUCCCGUAAGUUCGCGAGAAGGGAGCCCGGUUCGUGGGCAACCAUGGGCCGGGGGCACAGACCAGGGGGUGGCGACUGUUUAGCAAAAACACAGGGCUCUGCGAAGCCGCAAGGCGACGUAUAGGGUCUGACGCCUGCCCGGUGCCGGAAGGUUAAGAGGAGAGGUGCAAGCUUUGAAUCGAAGCCCCGGUAAACGGCGGCCGUAACUAUAACGGUCCUAAGGUAGCGAAAUUCCUUGUCGGGUAAGUUCCGACCUGCACGAAUGGCGUAACGACUUCCCCGCUGUCUCCAGCAUCGACUCAGUGAAAUUGAAUUCCCCGUGAAGAUGCGGGGUUCCUGCGGUCAGACGGAAAGACCCCGUGCACCUUUACUACAACUUCACACUGGCAGUUGUGACUUCAUGUGUAGGAUAGGUGGUAGGCUAUGAAGCCGUGGCGCCAGCCAUGGUGGAGCCACCCUUGAAAUACCACCCUUGAAGUUAUGAUUGUCUAACCGCGGCCCGUCAUCCGGGUCCGAGACAGUGUGUGGUGGGUAGUUUGACUGGGGCGGUCGCCUCCCAAAGAGUAACGGAGGCGCGCGAUGGUAGGCUCAGACCGGUCGGAAAUCGGUCGUUGAGUGCAAUGGCAUAAGCCUGCCUGACUGCGAGACUGACAAGUCGAGCAGAGACGAAAGUCGGUCAUAGUGAUCCGGUGGUCCCGAGUGGAAGGGCCAUCGCUCAACGGAUAAAAGGUACGCCGGGGAUAACAGGCUGAUGAUAUCCAAGAGUCCAUAUCGACGAUAUCGUUUGGCACCUCGAUGUCGACUCAUCACAUCCUGGGGCUGGAGCAGGUCCCAAGGGUUCGGCUGUUCGCCGAUUAAAGUGGUACGUGAGUUGGGUUCAGAACGUCGCGAGACAGUUCGGUCCCUAUCUGCCGUGGGUGUAGGAGAAUUGAGAGGAUCUGUCCCUAGUACGAGAGGACCGGGAUGGACGCACCUCUGGUGGACCUGUUGUGGCGCCAGCCGCAUUGCAGGGUAGCUAUGUGCGGACGGGAUAACCGCUGAAGGCAUCUAAGCGGGAAACCCACCUCGAAACGAGUUCUCCCUCGAGAGCCGUGGAAGACCACCACGUUGAUAGGCCGGGUGUGGAAGUGCAGUAAUGCACGAAGCUUACCGGUACUAAUCGCUCGAUUGGCUUGAUCGU
rnacentral:rRNA from 2 species